rnacentral:rRNA from 1 species
UACCCGCAGCUCAAGUGGUGGUCAUUAUUAUUGGGCCUAAAGCGUCCGUAGCUGGCUUGUUAGAUGCCUGGGUAAAUCGAUGCGCUCAACGUAUCGACUUCCGGGUAGACCGGCAAGCUUGGGACCGGGAGAGGCGUGAGCUACUCGAGGGGUAGGGGUAAAAUCCUGUAAUCCUUCGGGGAGGACCAGUGGCGAAGGCGUCACGCUAGAACGGCUCCGACAGUGAGGGACGAAGCCCUGGGGCGCAAACCGG